rnacentral:rRNA from 1 species
CUUGCUUUCUUUUGCUGGCGACCGGCGCACGGGUGAGUAACACGUAUCCAACCUACCUUUACUCGGGGAUAGCCUUUCGAAAGAAAGAUUAAUACCCGAUAGCAUAAUGAUUCCGCAUGGUUUCAUUAUUAAAGGAUUCCGGUAAAGGAUGGGGAUGCGUUCCAUUAGGUUGUUGGUGGGGUAACGGCCCACCAAGCCUUCGAUGGAUAGGGGGUUCUGAGAGGAAGGUCCCCCCACAUUGGAACUGAGACACGGUCCAAACUCCUACGGGAGGCAGCAUG